AAUCCAGGCGUUGAUUUUUCAACAUUUCCAACAGGGCAUCUGUAUUACGACUCUGAUCGCAUUUCUCAUUUCUAGUCUGGCAAAAGUCUACCGUUUCGUUUUCGCCAUCAAAAAUUUCUUUAACAGAUCCAUAGAUUUCCCGUUCGACGAUCUACGUUUUGAUCAUGGCUUUGUAGUUCUUCGAUAAACCUCUCGGCUUCAAUCAUUUCUUUGACAGAUCCAUAGAUUUUCUGGUCAAUCAUCGGCGUUUCAGCAACAGGUGCUUCAGAUCUAUCAGAUUCGGUUCAAGUCGACGUGUUUUCAGGGCAUCGGAUGCUUAUAUGAAUCUGUUGAUUUGUUCUACUCAAAACAAUUCGCUUUUUGCAAUAUUUUCAGGUAGAUAUGUGAAGAUAAGUGAUCAUGAUACCCACUGGGUUCGGUAUAUUGAUUGUUGACUACUGAUGGUGUCUGAGAUUCGUAACAGAUGGUUUGAUGGAUGUUUUAUAUGUAAUUGUUUGCGAAUUACGUAGCUGUUUGAUAUUCUUUCUUUUUUAAUAUGAGGAGGGUAUAUGAUGGAGAGAGAAAGAUAGAGAAUUGUGAGAGAUGUGAAAUGUUCUAGUGACCUUUGCCAUGUCAGGUGCGCUUGCAUGGCAGGUCAAGAAAAAGCCUAAUAAAAACUUCCUUUUCUUGUGUUGAAGGGAGAUGGUACGGGGUUUUGCCCGGCACUCCCUUCCUCCGUGUCUCGUGUCCCCUUUUUAUUCUCUGAAGAAAUACUUAUAUUUUGUCUCCGUUGAUCUCUUCUUAAUGGUUUUGGCUGGUGUUGGAUUCUAAAUCCACUUCGUCCACCAUUUCCAUUUGGGGAAAAAAAGGCGUCCAUUGCAUGAUCUUCCUAUUUGAUCCAGGAAAUGAAGCCUUGGAUCAACUUCAUGAUUUUAUCUGCCAGAGGUACAAGCAAGAACACUUCUCUAAAUUUGAACCAUUAAUUCUUGUUCACUGAGCAGUUUUUUUAUCAAUUAAGAUGCGAGCAAUACUUGCAUACUCAAUCUGAAGUCAUUCUCCGUUGAUACAUUUUAUAAUGUUAUUGACUAUUAACAUAAAAUCAGAGGUGCAAUAUAUAUAUAUUCGCAUUGGUGCCAAUUUACUAUUCUUUCAAUUAUGAGGGCACAAUCUAGAGGGAAGUUUUGAAAAAUUAACUAUUUUGACAUGAUCAAACCAUUACUAAUUUUUGUAGAAGUCUUUACAUGGGUGUUAUUUUUGUACUUCGUGUCUUAUUUUGCUGUUAUUUCUUCAAUGAAGAGAAAAAAAGUGAUUAAUGGUAUAAUUUUCUGAGCCCUUUUGGGAGAUCUCAUCUUUUAAUAAUCCAUGUCUGUUUUUGUCUCUAGCAUGAUUCCAGUUUGUCAUUUAUUGGUUUUUCCUUCUGUAAGGUUGCCAAAAAAGGUAUUAAUGUAUAAACUGGGUCAUCUUGUAAUAUCAUGGAGCUGUGCAUGUGUAGGAUAUUCAUGACGAGGUUGCAGUUGUAUAUUAGUUACUAUAGGUAUUUUGUCAUGGGAUUCUGGAUUCUGGCUCUUGAUGGGUUGUAACCACAGAAUCUCUUGGGGUCGUGCAUACACCAUGAUGGGUUAUACUAGUUUCAAAAUGUCCCUUAUAACCUGUUCAUUAUAGGGGGAGAAGAGCGAGAUUUGCUUAUAGCGGAGUAGCCUGGCUUUUCAACAUCAGCGGAAUGAAGCUCAUUGCUGUUCAAUGCUCUGCAUGGAGGUCAUGUAGCAAUUGUGGGAGCUCUUCAUGGUUUGGUUGUGGCAGAAUAUUGUCAGAUGUUGCCUUAAAUUCUUUUGGGUGAUAUCAUCUGGAAUGUUUCCCUACUGCAUCAGGUUUAAUAUGGUUAUGCUCAUCUGAUUACAGUGCCAGGUUGGAACUGCUUUGCUUCAGCUAUAACUUGGGGAGAAUAGCUUGUUAGUCUUGCUUUGGGAUCUUGUUUAUGCGGUUCUGAACGAGAUGUUGCAGUGUUUUGCAGCUGUCGUGGUGCUGAUCUUUUGUUGCCAUAAGACAUUUUGAAGGGUUUGAGAUGUAAAAUGUUCUUGUGCUUGUCAACCGACCUUUGCCAUGUCAGGUUCGCUUGCAUGGCAGGUCUAGGAAAAACCUAAUAAAAAUUCUCUUUUCUUGUGUUGAAGGGAGAUGGCACGGGGUGUUGCCCAGCUCUCCCUUCAUGUGUGUCUCAUGUCCCCUUUUUUCUUGUUCUUCCAGAGAGAUCAUCGUGCUUUCAAUUUGUUGGCCUGUUGACUGGUUUGGUUUGUGUCUACCAGAUACUACAUCCACUCCAUAGGCUAUAAUCAGAAAUGCAGAGUUGGAUAUGCGUUAUCUUCAUAUCAAUCUGAGAAUUGCUGGGUUAGAUCAACAUAGAGAGUUUAUCUGCAAGAGGUACAAGUCAAAACCCUUAGUUUAUUUUGCUUUUAAUUCUUACACAUUGUGUAGUUUUUAAUCUGAUACACACAUAAAAAUUUGCUACCAAUCGAGAUUUAAGGUUAUAGGCUAAUCUCAUGUUCAAGUUAUAGGCUGUUAGCUUCAAAUUAAAUGUGGCAUUACAUUGACUGAAUUAGUAUUGUUCCAAUAAUGAAAUGACCAUCUAGAGUGAGCAUUUGCAGUUUGUCUCCAAAUUCAAAUCGUGUUUAAUUGAUUUUUCUUAUUAAGGAUGCCAAUAAUGUUCUUACAAAGCUAAGUCAAGAUCUGUUUGUGGUGGAAUGGUUCUACUUUUCAACCUCAACGGUGUGAUGGUGAUGGCUGUUCAAAGCUGCCUGCCUGGAGGUCUUAGCGGUUGUGGAAGCUCUUCAUGUCUUUGGUGAUGGCAAAAGAUUAGUGUUAACGGUCGCCCUAUCCUUUUUCUCAAUGAUUAAAUUUGCUAUUGGGUGUGAUGUCAUCUGGUAUGUUUCUCGAUUGUGUCAGGUUUAAUGUGUUAUGCUGAUCCGAUUAUUGUGCGAGGUAGGAACUGCUCUGCGUCAUCUAUAUUUUGUGGAGAUUGGAGAAUAAUUUGUUUGUCUUGCUUUGGGAUUUGAUUAAGUGAUUCUGAAUGAGCUGGUCGCGUUUUGCAGCUGUUCUUUGUUGAUCUCUUGAUGCCACAAAAUGUUCAAAGAUUGAGAUGUAAAAAGUUAUAGUGUUUGUCACCUGACCUUUGCCAUGUAGGUGCGCUUGCAUGGCAGGUCCAGAAAAACCUAAUAAAAUUUUUCUUUCUUAUGGUGAAGGGAGAUGGUAUGGGGUUUUGCCUGGCUCUCCCUUCCCGUGUGUCUCGUGUUCCCUUUUAUUUGUUCGUCCAGAAUGAUCUCGAUGCUUAUUUUGUAGGCCUUUUGGAUGGUUUUGGUUGGGGGGUGUGGCAUACUAAAUCAACUCCAUAGACCAUACUGAGAAAUGCAGGGUUGGGUAUGCGCUAACUUCAUAUCAAUCUGGGAAUUACAGGGUUCGAUCAACUUUGUGAGUUUAUCUGCAAGAGGUACAAGCUAGAAGAAUCCUUUGCUUGUUUUGCCUUUUUGAUUAUUAUUCAUUGGUCAGUUUUAAAUCAUCUCCAAGCACGAUCUAAGGUUAUCAUCUUAUCAUCUAUUAAUCUCAUUUUUAAGUUAUAGGCUAUUAACUUCAAAUCAAAUGUGGUAUUACAUUGUCUGAAUCAUUGCAAGCACUUACUGUUUUAUGUCACCAAAUUCAAUCCAAGUCAUUUUUUUUUGGGCAUGGGAUGCUUGGAUUCUGAUUGUUGUGAUUAUAGAAAUUUACUUUCGGCGGAUUUUGGAUUUACGAUGUAUUAUACUACUGGUUACAAAGAUUCCUAUUGUAACCUGUUAAUCCUAGGGGAAGAAGAUAAAGAUUUGUUCUUGGCAGAAUUGUUCAACUUUUCAAGCUCAGCAGUGUGAUCGCAAUUGCUAUUCAAUGCUGCAUGGAGGUCUUGUAGCCUUUGUGGAGCUCUUCAUGGCUGGUGGUAGCAAAAGAUUAUUGUCAGUGGUUUCCCUACUCUGAAUUUUGAAUUUGCUUUUGAUUAAUAUCAUUCAUUCAGAAAUGCAGAGUUGGAUAUGCGUUAUCUUCGUAUCAAUCUGAGAAUUUCUGGGUUAGAUCAACUUAUUGAGUUUAUCAGCAAGAGGUACAAGCCAAAAAACAACCCUUAGUUUAUUUUGCUUUUAAUUCUUAUACAUUGUGUAGUUUUUAAUCUAAUACACUCUUACAAAUUUGCUUCCAAGUGAGAUUUAAGGUUAUAGGCUAAUCUCAUGUUCAAGUUAUAGGCUGUUAGCUUCAAAUUAAAUGUGGCAUCACAUUGACUGAAUUAGUAUUGUUCCAAUAAUGAAAUGACCAUCUAGAGUGAGCAUUUGCUGUUUUCUGUCUCCAAAUUCAAACCAUGUUUAAUUGAUUUUUCUUAUUAAGGAUGCGAAUAAUGUUCUUAAAAAGCUAAGUCAUCUUGGAAUAUCAUGGAGUAGUGCAGUGGCACAACAUUGAAUGUUCUUAUAGAAGCCUUCUGUUUUUUUGUUUGUUUGUGGGGCUGGGGAUUUUGUUCUAUGAUGUGUUAGUUUGGUUAGGAAAUGUCUGUAACCUGUUCAUCAUAGGGGGAGAAAUCAAGAUCUGUUUGUGGGGGAAUGGUUCUACUUUUCAACCAUCAACGGUGUGAUGGUGAUGGCUGUUCAAUGCUGCCUGCCUGGAGGUCUUGUAGCUGUUGUGGAAGCUCUUCUUGUCUUUGGUGAUGGCAAAAGAUUAAUGUUAGCGGUCACCCUAUCCUUUUUCUCAGUGACUAAAUUUGCUCUUGGGUGAUAUCAUCUGGAAUGUUUCUCGAUUGCGUCAGGUUUAAUAUGUUGUGCUGAUCCGAUUAUUGUGCGAGGUUGGAACUGCUUUGCGUCAUCUAUAUUUUGUGGAGAUUGGAGAAUAAUUUGUUUGUCUUGCUUUGGGAUUUGAUUAUGUGAUUCUGAAUGAGCUGGUCGCGUUUUGCAGCUUUUCUUUGUUGAUCUCUUGAUGCCACAAAACGUUCGAAGGUUGAGAUGUAAAAAUAGUGUUUGUCACCUGACCUUUGCCGGGUUGAGAUGUAAAAAGUUAGUGUUUGUCACCUGACCUUUGCCAUGCAGGUGCGCUUGCAUGGCAGGUCCAGAAAAUCCUAAUAAAAAUUUUCUUUCUUGUGGUGAUGGGAGAUGGUACGGGGUUUUGCCUGGCUCUCCGUUCCCGUGUGUCUCGUGUUCCCUUUAUUUUGUUCCUCCAGAAUGAUCUCGAUGCCUAUUUUAAUGAUCUUGAGGCCUAUUUUUUAGGCCGUUUGAAUGGUUUUGGUUGGAGUGUGUGAAGUACUAAAUCAACUCCAUAGACCAUACUGAGAAAUGCAGGGUUUGGUAUGCGCUAACUUCAUAUCAAUCUGGGAAUUACAUCGAUCAAUUUUGUGAGAUUAUCUGCAAGAGGUACAACCAGAAGAAUCCUUUGUUUGUUUUGCCUUUGAUUAUUUUUCAUUGGUUAGUUUUAAAUCAUCUCCAAGCACAAUCUAAGGUUAUCAUCUUAUCAUCUAUUAAUCUCAUUUUUAAUUAAUAGGCUAUUAACUUCAAAUCAAAUGUGGUAUUACAUUGACUGAAUCAUUGCAAGCACUUACUGUUUUACGUCACCAAAUUGAAAUCCAAGUCAUUUUGGAAUAUCAAGAAAUUGUACAGUUGCAGUUAACUUGGUAUGUGGGCUUGGGAUGCUUGGAUUCUGAUUGUUGUGAUUAUAGAAAUUUACUUUCGGGGGAUUUUGGUUUUACGAUGUAUUAUACUACUGGUUACAAGGAUUCCUAUUGUAACCUGUUAAUCCUAGGGGAAGAAGAUAAAGAUUUGUUCGUGGCAGAAUGGUUGGUGUGAUCUCAAUGGCUAUUCAAUGCUGCAUGGAGGUCUUGUAGCUGUUGUGGAGCUCUUCAUGGCUGGUGGUGGCAAAAGAUUAUUUUCAGUGGUUUCCCUAUCUUUAUUCUCUGAAUUUUGAAUUUGCUUUUGAUUAAUAUCAUUCGUUAUAUUUUACUGCUGCUCAGGAUUCGGGGAGAUGUACUGGUUUGCCUGGCUCUCACUUUCUGUAUGUCCAGUGCCCUCCCAUUUCUCCAAACGAAUCUUUAUAGUUUAUUCUUUCCCUGUGUUGCUCUCUUGAAUGGUUUUGGUUGGUGAUCGAUUCUAAAUCCACUGUGUUACAUACCCAUUUGAGGCAAAACUUCCUUUUGUGUGAUCUUCGUAUGGACUGAGGAAAUCAAGGUUUGGAUCAACUUCAUAAUUUGUUAUCUGCAAGAGGUACAAGCAAAAACACCUGUACAUUUUUCUGUUAAUUCUCAUUCAUCACACAACUUUUAUCAAACUCAUGUUUUUAAAUAAAGAAUGCACUAUAUAUAGUGAAGCCUUGAGAUAUUAUCUAUUUUGGCUCUUGACUUGUAAGCAAAUUUUUUUUUUUCUGCCUCGAAAUCCAAAUGUACUUUAUUUGAUUUUCCUUCUGUAAAGAUGCCAAUUUUGAUACUAAUGUAAAAAGCCAAGUCAUCUUGGAAAUAUAGUCUGCCUCGAAAUCAAAAUGUACUUUAUUUGAUUAUCCUUCUAUAAAGAUGCCAAUUGUGAUACUAAUGUAAAAAGCCAAGUCAUCUUGGAAAUAUAGUGGGGCCCUAAUGAGGAGUUUGCAGUUGUAUGGUAGUUAUAUAUUAGUAUCUGAACUUGCUACUUAUCAAAAAAAAAAAAAAAAAUAUUAGUAUCUGAACUUGUGUUGAUUGUAAAUUUGUGAUUUUAUUACUUCCCGGGGAUUGGAAUUGAAAUUAUUACUGGUCCCAAAAUAUCUCUGAAUCUGUUCAUCAUAGGGGGAAGUCCAAGAUAUAUUGAUAACCUCAGCAGUGUGAUGGUGAUUGCUGUUUGAUGUGUCGUGGCUGCUGUGGAAGCUCUUCAUGGCUUGGUGCUGACAAAAUAGUGGUGCCUAUCUUCUUUAUGAUGAUGUAUGAAUUUGCUUUGGUUGAUAUCCUCCCCAGGUUUGUUAUGACGUGCCGUUUUAUAUGGAGUACAACUUUUUUUUGUCUUGCUUAUUAUAUUCUGGUUUAAAUAGUUUUGCAGCUGCUCUGUUAUCAUCUUGUGAGGCCAUAAAAUAUUCUAUGAAUGCCAGUUUAUAAUUUGUAAUGUCUUACUGAAAUUUGGGUGAAGUACAUAGUGAUUUGGUGCUUUUGUUGGUGAUAUACAAUAAUGCCCUUUUUAUUUUUAUUUUUAUUUCUUGAACUUGAAGUUCUGGUAUUGUCACUUAUAUUCACUGUUUUCUGCUUUUACUCGGAGCAAUCAGUGCCCACUGCCCACUGCCCACUAUUAAUUCUGUCUCUCACAGUGUGUACAGUGUUUUAUGUUCUACGGUCAACCUUGGAAGAUUUUUGGAUUUCCUUUGUAUUGUUCCGUGCGGAAUGAUUAUCAUUUGGGCCUGAGGUAAAAUUAGAUUUAUAAUUUACUUUCUUGUGAGUGUUGUAAUUUAUAAUUGAGUUUUAGUCAAGUUUGUUUUCCCAAAAAAAUUGUCUAGUAGGUUGGAGGAUAAAGCAACUGAUUUGAGCUCAAGGCAUUGCAACUUAUUUCUCAUUUACCUUGGGUUGUGGUCUGAUCAUACCAUUUAUCCAACUUUUAUUUGCUUAGAAGA